rnacentral:lncRNA from 1 species
UUGAGUCUUCAAAAUAAGAUGUGUUUACAUUUCAUUCCUAUGACUGCCUUGAAGAGUGUUUUCCAUUGACUGGAUUCACAAUAACAGGGAAAUAGCUGAGAAAAUUUUAUGCAGCUUCAACUUUACAAUUACCACUAAAAGCAAAAUAUUCUUAGGGUGGUUAUGAAAGACAAGAUGUUUUCAUUUGCCACCAGCAACAUACAUACAUACUUCCUGCUUUUUCUUCAGGUGCUGCUGUGGUUAGAUGGUUCUUUAUUGACCAUUGCAGCCAUACAGAAUUGACUACAACAAAACCUAUUGAUCUAAUUUUGACUUAGUAGUAAAUUAUGAGAAGAAUAUGUUUUCCACCAAAAGGAUUAUCACAUGAAAGACUAUUUAUCGAUGACCCCAGGUAUUUUCUUGUAGUUUGCUUUAACCAAAAUAAGAGAUAAUAAUAAGUAAUAAAUGAUAAAUACAACAUGCUUAAAGACAAUUGUCAUGAAAUUGAGUUCCAGAUUUGAAAAAAUAUAUGUAAACAUUAAUAUUAGCUAUCCAAGUUUAUUUUCUAUUAUUUUUCUUUAAAAUAGUCCUUUAAAUA